UCCUGUGUGGCUCAGUCAUUAGAGCAUGGCUCUUGCAACACCAAGAGUCAUGGGUUCGAUUCCCACUGCGGGCA
rnacentral:tRNA from 1 species